rnacentral:lncRNA from 1 species
UUUAUUUUAAAGAAAAAAAACAAGUGAUGUGGAAAAUAUAAGGAUGUGUAAGGAUGUUUGUAUGGUUGGAGAAGAAAUUGGAAGGUUUUAAGGAUUUCUGACUAGGCAGCUAAGGACGCCUUAGGGCACCCUUAGCAUUGGAGAUAGUCUAAGUAAUAGGAUCAAAAUGGUGAAAAGAAAGAAAACUCAGGAAGUCAUAGAAAAGAAAAUUAUUUAAACUAAAAUGAAAAUUUGAAACUUAGACACUAAAAUGAGAAUUUACUCUUUAGAAAAUUUCCCUUAAAUGAACCUUUAGGCCCCAGGCCCAUAAAACCCAUACGAUAUUAGAUUACACAAGCCCAUAAACCCAACCGGUCUACUAAAACCCUAACCCUAAUCACACUCCUUUUGCACAUCCAACCCUAUAUAUCCAUCCACCACACCGCCAUUGCAUCAUCAUUCAACACUCUUCUUUCUAUCUUCUCUGAUUUCAUUUCUUCAUCCAAUUGGUAAUCACUUCUUCAUUUUCCUCUUCUGUGUUCAUUUCCUUUCGAAAUUAUU